GAAUGACUCUCGGCAACGGAUAUCUCGGCUCUCGCAUCGAUGAAGAACGUAGCGAAAUGCGAUACUUGGUGUGAAUUGCAGAAUCCCGUGAACCAUCGAGUCUUUGAACGCAAGUUGCGCCCGACGCCUUCGGGCCGAGGGCACGUCUGCCUGGGCGUCACGC
rnacentral:rRNA from 1 species